CCGGCCCGGCCCCGGCGGGCGGAGGCGGGCUCGGGGCGGGUUAAAAGCGGCGGCAGGUGAGCGGGGAGGGACCUCAGAGCCGCGGGGCGGUGAGCCGGGCACCGGCCGCUCCGCUGACACCGCCGGACCCGCAGCCGAGCCCAGAACGGGUUCUCAGUCAGCAGCUCUCGGCGAGCACGUUAUGUGAAGCACCCGGCCGGCUCCAACCCCGAGCGAGCUAAAGGCUUCCGCAAUUACAGGU
rnacentral:lncRNA from 1 species